AACGACAAAGGCAAACCUAAUCGAAAGAUAGGGACGCAAAGCCAUAGGGCCUUCGCAAGAGUGGCAGCCUGGCUACCGAAA
rfam:Paenibacillus sp. FSL H7-0357, complete genome.